rnacentral:rRNA from 1 species
GAUGAACGCUGGCGGUGUGCCUAAUACAUGCAAGUCGAGCGAACAGACGAGGAGCUUACUCCUCUGACGUUAGCGGCGGACGGGUGAGUAACACGUGGAUAACCUACCUAUAAGACUGGGAUAACUUCGGGAACCCGGAGCUAAUACCGGAUAACAUGUUGAACCGCAUGGUUCAACAGUGAAAGACGGUCUUGCUGUCACUUAUAGAUGGAUCCGCGUCGCAUUAGCUAGUUGGUAAGGUAACGGCUUACCAAGGCAACGAUGCGUAGCCGACCUGAGAGGGUGAUCGGCCACACUGGAACUGAGACACGGUCCAGACUCCUACGGGAGGCAGCAGUAGGGAAUCUUCCGCAAUGGGCGAAAGCCUGACGGAGCAACGCCGCGUGAGUGAAGAAGGUCUUCGGAUCGUAAAACUCUGUUAUUAGGGAAGAACAAAUGUGUAAGUAACUAUGCACGUCUUGACGGUACCUAAUCAGAAAGCCACGGCUAACUACGUG